rnacentral:rRNA from 1 species
UACGGGGGGAGCAAGCGUUGUUCGGAUUUACUGGCGUAAAGGGCGCGUAGGCGGUCAGCACAAGUCAGUUGUGAAAUCUCCGGGCUUAACUCGGAAAGGUCAACUGAUACUGUGCGACUAGAGUGCAGAAGGGGCAACUGGAAUUCUCGGUGUAGCGGUGAAAUGCGUAGUAUAUCAGGAGGAACACCGGUGGCGAAGGCGCUCAUCUGGCCCAAUACUGACGCUGAAGCCGCGAAAGCUAGGGGAGCAAACGGGAUUAGAUACCCCGA